ensembl:rRNA 5S_rRNA 5S ribosomal RNA
GCCAACAGCCAUAUCACCCUGCAACUCACAACUGGCAGCCCACUGAACCUCAGCAAGUGUGAGCCUGGUCAGUACCUGGAUGGGAGACCACCUGGGAAAACUAAGGUUGCGGCUGGAA